rnacentral:rRNA from 1 species
AUGAACGCUGGCGGCGUGCCUCAUACAUGCCAGUCGAGCGAACAGACGAGGAGCUUGCUCCUCUGACGUUAGCGGCGGACGGGUGAGUAACACGUGGAUAACCUACCUAUAAGACUGGGAUAACUUCGGGAAACCGGAGCUAAUACCGGAUAACAUGUUGAACCGCAUGGUUCAACAGUGAAAGACGGUCUUGCUGUCACUUAUAGAUGGAUCCGCGCCGCAUUAGCUAGUUGGUAAGGUAACGGCUUACCAAGGCAACGAUGCGUAGCCGACCUGAGAGGGUGAUCGGCCACACUGGAACUGAGACACGGUCCAGACUCCUACGGGAGGCAGCAGUAGGGAAUCUUCCGCAAUGGGCGAAAGCCUGACGGAGCAACGCCGCGUGAGUGAAGAAGGUCUUCGGAUCGUAAAACUCUGUUAUUAGGGAAGAACAAAUGUGUAAGUAACUAUGCACGUCUUGACGGUACCUAAUCAGAAAGCCACGGCUAACUACGUG